CCCCUAGAUGUUCUGGGCCGCACGCGCGCUACACUGAACAGUUCAACAAGUCUUAACCUUGGCCGAUAGGUCUGGGUAAUCUUUGAACGCUGUUCGUGAUUGGGAUAGACCUUUGCAAUUAUGGGUCUUCAACGAGGAAUUCCUAGUAAACGCAGUCAUCAGCUUGCAUUGAUUACGUCCCUGCCCUUUGUACACACCGCCCGUCGCACCUACCGAUUGAAUGGUCCGGUGAAAUCUCGGGACGGCGGCUUGGUCGCUUGCGUCCGACUGCUGAAACUUGAUUAAACCAUAUCAUUUAGAGGAAGGUGAAGUCGUAACA
rnacentral:rRNA from 1 species